rnacentral:rRNA from 1 species
CCAUCGAGUCUUUGAACGCAAGUUGCGCCCGAAGCCAUUAGGUCGAGGGCACGCCUGCCUGGGUGUCACA